rnacentral:rRNA from 1 species
ACAGCAGUAGCCGCAGUAAUACAGAGGGUGCGAGCGUUAAUCGGAUUUACUGGGCGUAAAGCGUGCGUAGGCGGCUUCUUAAGUCGGAUGUGAAAUCCCUGAGCUUAACUUAGGAAUUGCAUUCGAUACUGGGAAGCUAGAGUAUGGGAGAGGAUGGUAGAAUUCCAGGUGUAGCGGUGAAAUGCGUAGAGAUCUGGAGGAAUACCGAUGGCGAAGGCAGCCAUCUGGCCUAAUACUGACGCUGAGGUACGAAAGCAUGGGGAGCAAACAGGAUUAGAUACCCGAGUAGUCCCUGUCUCUUAUAC